UCAGAAAAGCAGACAAUUUUCUGACUAUAGGAGAGUCACCAGCUAGGGAUAGGAUACGGCCGUACGUGUAUGCCAAGCCUCGAUCUUCGAGUUUGGAUAACAUGGUCACGUUGUCUCUUUGUCUCCGUCCCGGCCUGUCUCACCGUAUAUAAAAUCCAUUCAUGACAUUCAUUUCUUCAUCCAUUUCUUUUCUGCUACCUAUCUACAACUCUGAACUCUCUCGUCUAGCUCCUCGUAGUUUGGAUUACAUCUCUUUCAAGCUUCUUGCGGGAGAGUGGAGUUUUUUCGUAAGCAGGAAAAGAUGUUGGGGAUAUUCAACAAAGAUUUGGUUCAGCCACCUCGGGAGCUAAAUAGCCCGGCGGCCCCGGCUCCAUCGAAUUCUUCUGCGAAGUCCAAGCUUUCACAUGAGAUUGUGAAGAGUUUUGUUUCUCAAUCUAGCAAUGCCUUCUCCAUCAGCUUUGAAAAUGCAACAUCUUUUGCUUAUGUUACACCAGAGAAACCAUAUUCCAUUCAUCAGAGAUUGCUGUGUUGUAUGGACGAUAUAUACUGCAUUUCUUGGGGAACCUGAACAAUCUAUACAGUCUCAUCAAGCAGUAUGGCCUAUCAAAGGGCACCAAUGAGGCCAUUUCCGUGACCGAGGCCCAUACCCGGCCGAUCAGGUUCUCAAAGAUCUGGAUGGAAGCUUUGGAUAUGUGGUCUACGAUAACAAGGCAAAAACUGUUUUUGCUGCACUGAAAAAAUGCGAGAAACGUGCGGUGCAGCAUUUUGGAAGGCAUUCUUGUUGUUUGAAACUGAAUGCGUGUUAUGAUUAUUAUGGUCUCUGUUUCUCUUCACACGGUUUGACGUUUGGUAAGUGCGACCGACUUUAUCAAUUCCCACUUAUAUUUUUUUUGGUUAUUUAUUUUAAAAUUUAUUUUAUUACUUCGUAGUCCGCAUGAGGACGAAUUUGGGCGGCAAGGAGUCUCUAUGGCGCCCCCAAAUGGGAGGAAAAAUCGAAGUAAAAGUGUAACAGCCCGCUAGAAAUUCAAUUAAAGAAUUUCUAUUGACUUUAGGAACUUCGUGA